AUUUAAUGAGGUAUUGGGGAUCAACUCAAGCCUUUGCUGUAAGCUAGGAAGCACUCUACCAAGUGAGCUACAUCCCUGGUUCUUAAAGUCAUCCCCCCCCCAACCCCACACAGAUUAAAAGGAGAGCAGUUUGCAAUCAGAGGGAAAUGGGUGUGGCUUGGGGGCCAGCUGCCUACUUGUGCAGACAACUCAGAAGGCAUCUUGUGUGAUUCUGGGACGCUGUUCUGGUUUCCUGUUAUCCAUAUUAAGGAGGUGUGAGGUCAUCUGUGGUCAGUCUUCUCUCUACCAGGGCUUGGAAACGGUCAGGAAAAAGCAGCCAAGCAUGAAAUGAACAAAAUCACCUACAAAGAGGAACGGAUAAAGGACGGUAUCCGGGGCCACCAUGUACACAGGGAGGCAAACUCAUUAUAAGGAGGCAAAUUCACUCCAGUGUUGUGAAAGACAAGUGAGACGCACAUUCAUUAAUAGCACUGGAUUAUCUUAAAAGUAUUUACUUCAAGGUGUUUCAUCUGGUGGCCACAAGAAAAGGAGGGGUCUGUAUGAGUUGCAAGUCCUGCACGGUGUGCUGUGGAUCCAUUUUUAAUGUUAUACCAAUAGAGGAACCUAUGAGUGCAGACACUGACUUCCCACUGGAAAGGAGAAUAAUUACCUCAAACAUUGAUAAUGGCUGGUGCAGGGAAUCAUUUCCAUGAGGUAUAGAAGAGGGGAUGCUUAAAUUUCCUUGAUGGUUGACUUCCUUCUCCUAAAUGCAUGUCCUAACACCGUACCUCAAAGCAACAAUUCUUGUUUGACAGGAUUUCCCCACCAUCAUCAACCAAAUUGUAAAGUGUGGCUGAAGAUUAUGAAGAGACUGUGUCACUAUGCCCAUUUAAGGGUACAUUGCACCAGGGCAAACCACAGGGCAAGGCAAAGAAUGAACUAGUCAAACAUUCCUAUGUGCAAGAGAGAGCAAGAAAAAUUCCUGGGUUUGUCACAUGGAAGCUAAAUAACUCCCUUUUAUGGGGGGGGGGGCAUUCCUUGUACUGCCCUCUGCCUUAUGGGGAUUCUCUGAUGACUGCUUGAGACACACCUGCCACCCAGAGGAAACAUCUCUCUGUGCCUUAAAACCCAGCUGAGUGCCUGAUUAGCAAGGAUAGCUCAGAAUCCUCCUGCAUCCACUCCUUGCUCUUUAAGUCCUGCAGACUAGGAAUGGCCUUGCAGCUAUUUAAC
rnacentral:lncRNA from 1 species